rnacentral:rRNA from 1 species
UACGGAGGGUGCAAGCGUUAUCCGGAUUCACUGGGUUUAAAGGGUGCGUAGGUGGGCAAGCAAGUCAGUGGUGAAAUCUCCGGGCUUAACCCGGAAACUGCCAUUGAUACUAUUUGUCUUGAAUACUGUGGAGGUCAGCGGAAUAUGUCAUGUAGCGGUGAAAUGCUUAGAUAUGACAUAGAACACCAAUUGCGAAGGCAGCUGGCUACACAAAUAUUGACACUGAGGCACGAAAGCGUGGGGAUCAAACAGG